GAUGAACGCUGGCGGCGUGCCUAAUAUAUGCAAGUCGAGCGAACAGACGAGGAGCUUGCUCCUCUAACGUUAGCGGCGGACGGGUGAGUAACACGUGGAUAACCUACCUAUAAGACUGGGAUAACUUCGGGAAACCGGAGCUAAUACCGGAUAAUAUAUUGAACCGCAUGGUUCAAUAGUGAAAGACGGUUUUGCUGUCACUUAUAGAUGGAUCCGCGCCGCAUUAGCUAGUUGGUAAGGUAACAGCUUACCAAGGCAACGAUGCGUAGCCGACCUGAGAGGGUGAUCGGCCACACUGGAACUGAGACACGGUCCAGACUCCUACGGGAGGCAGCAGUAGGGAAUCUUCCGCAAUGGGCGAAAGCCUGACGGAGCAACGCCGCGUGAGUGAUGAAGGUCUUCGGAUCGUAAAACUCUGUUAUUAGGGAAGAACAAAUGUGUAAGUAACUAUGCACGUCUUGACGGUACCUAAUCAGAAAGCCACGGCUAACUACGUG
rnacentral:rRNA from 1 species